GACGAACGCUGGCGGCGUGCUUAACACAUGCAAGUCGAACGGAAAGGCCCUGCUUUUGUGGGGUGCUCGAGUGGCGAACGGGUGAGUAACACGUGAGUAAACUGCCCUUGACUGUGGGAUAACUUCAGGAAAAAGGGGCUAAUACCGGAUAGGAGCUCCUGCUGCAUGGGGGGGGUUGGAAAGUUUCGGCGGUUGGGGAUGGACUCGCGGCUUAUCAGCUUGUUGGUGGGGUAGUGGCUUACCAAGGCUGUGAAGGGUAGCCGGCCUGAGAGCGUGACCGGCCACAUUGGGACUGAGGUACGCCCCAGACUCCUACGGGAGGCAGCAGUGGGGAAUAUUGCACAAUGGGCGGAAGCCUGAUGCAGCAACGCCGCGUUCGUGAUGACGUCCUUCGGGUUGUAAACCGCUUUCGCCUGUGACGAAGCGUGAGUGACGGUAAUGGGUAAAGAAGCACCGGCUAACUACGUG
rnacentral:rRNA from 1 species